rnacentral:tRNA from 1 species
GCCUGGGUGGCUCAGUUGGUUAAGUGUCUGACUUUGGCUCAGGUCAUGAUCUCGCGGUCCGUGGGUUCGAGCCCUGCGUCGGGCU